CUGUAAUGCAUUUAGUUAAGGGGAGUAGAGAUAUGGGUAGAGGUGCAGGGAGCCUUCGGGUUCUCAACUUAUUUCCAAACUUCGAACCUCCUUGUUAGGCAUUUACCUAACUGGAAAUGCUUAAAUGAAUUAGCGUUACAAGUGGGCUCUGACCGGUAAGCGGUCAUGGCGAAAUGGGAUGAACCAUACGUCUGAAUAAGGUGCCGAAAUGUACUAUCACUGAUACCAUAAAGGGAGUCCAUGUAUUUAGACAGCAGGUCGGUGCCCCUAAAAGCAGGUAUCCGCUAAAGAGUGUGUUAAAACUCACCUGCCGAAUACUAGGGCCCCGAAAAUGAAUGGCGCAUAUAGUACUACCGAUCUCAGACAUCAGUUCUAUUGAACUGAGAGUAGGGGGAUGUGGACAUUUUUGUGAAGGUGCAAUGUGAGUUGGACUGGAAGAAUGUCUAUUACAGAUCCUAAUUGAAGUAGCGAUUAUCCAGGCUUGUAUCCUGGGGGCUGAUGAGGAGUAGGGUUUCUGGACAACUUAAACAGAUCCAGAGUUAGUCGAUCCUAAUCUCAAUAAUGGGAGAAAGGGAGUACAGUUGAUAUUCUGUAACUGACAACAGUUCGCGGCAACGCAUACUAUUUUUCUCCGCCAAUCUUAUACCGUUGGUAGGGAUCUCUUUCCUACAUGACAGUACUAAUACCCAGGGAAACUGGUCAUCAGGCGAACUGCGGCGUUCUGCUGGCAAAACAUAGCUUCGGUUAUGUCAAUGGCUAUUGGAUUGGUCCAUGAAGCGAAAAAUAGUUUACUGUGUCACUCGUACCGAUAACCGCAUCAGGUCUUCUAGGUAAGUAGCCUAUGGCCAUUGAGGCAUGAUAGUUCAGGGAAUUCGGCCAAUUAGAGCUGUAACUUCGGGAUAAAGCUUGGCUCUGAUGAAAUCAGAACCGAUUGUUACGCGGAGAGCCCAACUGUUUAAUAAAAACGUAGUGUCGCGCUGUGGUAGUAUAGCCAGUGAACGCGACAUGAAUCCUGCUCAGUGCUGUGUCUGUUAAUAUGGUUCAAGCCAACGAAGCACCGGUAAAUAGCUGGGGU
rnacentral:ncRNA from 2 species